rnacentral:lncRNA from 1 species
UGACAGUAAUUGGACUUUUAUGUUUUGGUAGUUAUAACAAUUUUGCUCACAACUGAAUUAUAACAAUUUUGCUCACAACUGAAUUAUAACAAUUUUGCUCACACCUGAAUUAUAACAAUUUUGCUCACACCUGAAUUAUAACAAUUUUGCUCGCACCUGAAUUAUGACAAUUUUGCUCGCACCUGAAUUAUGACAAUUUUGCUCGCACCUGAAUUGUAACUUUGACAUUUGGGGAAGUUUUGCAUAUUCUGUUAAAAACCAUGAACACUCUUUAAAUUAGAACGUUUGUACUUUUACGACAACGAAUUCCACUGGCAUUGAUUUCAUCAAGAAAAUCUUUGAGCCCAUUUGAUCCUAUCCCCAUUCAAAAGGAAAAAGGGAUAAAGAGAGAAUAAUAACCCCACCAUUGAAGCAACUUGAAGAAGAGCAGAGGAACUAAGAAAAAAUAGAGUACGAAAUGAAACAUCCAAUGGCGAACUGAAAAGUAAGUGAAUUGAGUUGGAGUGAUGGGAGAGGGGAAAUUUCAAACAUGGAGUUGAUAAAAUUCGAAGAAUUAGAGGGGGAGGUGAUUCUCCGAUAUAGAGAAUUAUUUUUAAAACAUCCUCAGGUCUGAUUGCAACAAUUAACAAAUUUUAAUAACAUAUUUAAUCAAUUCGAAAAGAUAUAAUUGAUUCAAAUUAAGUUGAAGAAUACAAUAAUCCAAAAAGAAAAACAAUAAGAAAAGAAAUUAAAAGAAAGGGAAAUCUCCUGCGGCAG